rnacentral:rRNA from 1 species
UACAGAGGUCCCGAGCGUUGUUCGGAUUCAUUGGGCGUAAAGGGUGCGUAGGCGGUCGUGCUAAGUUUGAUGUGAAAUCCCGGGGCUCAACCCUGGAAUGGCAUUGAAUACUGGCGGACUAGAGUACCGGAGAGGAAACGUGGAAUUUACGGUGUAGCAGUGAAAUGCGUAGAGAUCGUAAGGAAGACCAGUGGCGAAGGCGAGUUUCUGGACGGUAACUGACGCGUGAGGCAACGAAGG